UACGUAGGGUGCAGGCGUUAUUCGGAAUUACUGGGCGUAAAGCGUGCGCAGGCGGUUUCUUAAGUCAGAUGUGAAAGCCCCGGGCUUAACCUGGGAACUGCGUUUGAAACUGGGAGACUUGAGUGUGGCAGAGGGGGGUGGAAUUCCACGUGUAGCAGUGAAAUGCGCAGAUAUCAGGAGGAACACCAAUGGCGAAGGCAGCACUCUGGGACGGUACUGACGCUGAGACGCGAAAGCGUGGGGAGCAAACAGG
rnacentral:rRNA from 1 species